UCCUGAACAACUCACUCUAGCCGUCGCUCGUUCGCAGUGUGAAGUGCCAAUUUCAUCUCAGUCUUAGCAGCAUGUACGAAGGUCUGGACCCCACUGGGCUAUAUUGAGAUUGAAAAACUAACAUCAUUGUGACAGUUCGACAAAUACUUCAAGAUGAAUAGAGAACUAGAUCCCACCGGGCAGUACUGAGUAGUGUGUGAAGUUUUUUCGAGACUUAUUGUAGAAAAUGAAGUUAAAGUUGAAUAUGGUGAUGCCAAAAGGAAAAGGGUUGGACCCUACAGGACUUUACUGAAAUGUUGAGCAAUGUGGCCCUUCCAAGACGAUGGAGGGCGUCAAGAAACUUCAAGCUGCCGCCGUAAAAGACUCCGAUGAUGAUCCACCUAAAACAAAAUAACAUCCACUGCCACACAAGUUACCGUUUGAACCGUUGUCCACCCUUCAAAUCUGGAUGAAUGAAGACUGAUGUUUUGUUGUUUUUUUUUACUUUUAAGAUUGUUUUUUAUUAAAUUAUAUCUAGGUUAAGUUCCUCAAGAUCAGCUUACACGAGAAAUGUAUGUUCUUCUAUUAUUGUUGUAAAUACCGCAAAUUAUCCAAAUGUAUAUGUUUCUAUCCCAUGAAUUCAUUAUUUCAUGAAGUUUUUAAUAAAAUAUAUUUUCUAAUA